UAGGUUUUGAAAGUAAUUUUUGUCAUUUCUUUUAUUUGUCUUUGUCACGUUAGCUCUGAUUUAUUCAUCUAUUUGUUCGACCAAUAUGACGAAGAAAGUCUGAUCUGAAGCUCUUCAAUGUUUGACGACUAAGGACACUUUGCAAUAACUUUACAUGUGACAGUAGCCAUUGACUUUAAAUUAAUCACAGAAGAUCACAGUUCCAGCUAAAAAUCUUUAUACUGUUCGACUGAAGAAAAAAGUCACCUUGGAUGGCCUGAUGGAUAACCAGACAGAUGAUUGAGGAGCAGCUCACCAUGGCGAUGUUCAUUAUUUGGAAGGAGGGGGAGAACUUCAUGAACCAUCUGCUGACAUCGAGGGAGUUAAAGUUUUGAAUCAACUUACUUCAGUUAUAUCAGCUUGU